GACGAACGCUGGCGGCGUGCUUAACACAUGCAAGUCGAACGGAAAGGCCCUGCUUUUGUGGGGUGCUCGAGUGGCGAACGGGUGAGUAACACGUGAGUAACCUGCCCUUGACUUUGGGAUAACUUCAGGAAACUGGGGCUAAUACCGGAUAGGAGCUCCUGCUGCAUGGUGGGGGUUGGAAAGUUUCGGCGGUUGGGGAUGGACUCGCGGCUUAUCAGCUUGUUGGUGGGGUAGUGGCUUACCAAGGCUUUGACGGGUAGCCGGCCUGAGAGGGUGACCGGCCACAUUGGGACUGAGAUACGGCCCAGACUCCUACGGGAGGCAGCAGUGGGGAAUAUUGCACAAUGGGCGGAAGCCUGAGGCAGCAACGCCGCGUGCGGGAUGACGGCUUUCGGGUUGUAAACCGCUUUCGCCUGUGACGAAGCGUGAGUGACGGUAAUGGGUAAAGAAGCACCGGCUAACUACGUG
rnacentral:rRNA from 1 species